CAGGACUCCAGUUCGAAGAGCGUCCUGUAAACGCGACACGGUCUCGGGAGAGCUCUACCCGCAGUCGUUAAGGGCUCGGCAUGACAGGGCCAACAUUUCGCAUAUCAUUUCUUCAGUCGAGAAAAAAAAUCUUAAGAGAGGAGAAAUUGGAUGCAGACCAGGGUUACCAGUGGUUACUCACUGCUACCGGAAGUAAUAGGAAUUCCAUCCGGGAAACACCAAGCAUGUGUAUGUGAAACUUAUUUUCCACUUGGCUGUGUUUGAUUUCUUCUCCAGGAUAAUUCAAUGUUCUUCCCACAAACCAAAAAGACUUGUGUGACAUUGAUUUGUGGCUGUACGUUGGCACCAUGUAGGAGUGUGUGAGGAUGUGCUCUGAAAUAGCCUGGCAUCCUGGCUAGUGUUGGCUCUUACCUUGUGCCUGGGAUAGGCUCAGGCUUCAAUUUUGAGGGAACCACCUGAAAGCCUUACCUUUAGUAAAGACGCUGUGAGAGGCAGCCAUCAGACAGACACCGGCAGUUCUAUAAAACGCACGUUUAUUUACAGUAAAUCACCGCACACACACAGUGCCCCUGCACCAGUCACCCUUACACGGGCCUUUAAAUGUCCCUGGGCCGCCUUUCUUCCUCACUCUCGAGCUUCGUCCUCUUCCACCCGACUCUGGCCUCUCGACUGUAGGAAGGCGGCCCCUUUUAUUCUCACCCGGAUGUGCUCCUUGACGUCCUUCCAGCAGCAUUUCCUGUGUGGCGUAAAGCACUCCGGGUGUCACUGGAAGUUCCUCCGCCAGCACUCCCAGGUGUGGCAGAAGUGCAGACAUCCCAGGCUCUAUGAAGCUCGGGGCGCCUCCCGGUGGUGGCCACGGGCACCAAUGGGUUUGAGCCUCCAUGCUCCGCUCCCGUAUUACCCACACUAACCAGGGCGGUUGCCCCCUCGCGGCCCGGGGGAUGUACAGUCCGCCUCCCGGUCCUUCCAGGCGUUUCGGCUGGG